GCUUGAAAUUCAAAGAAUUUGGCGGUAUUUUAGUCUAGUUAGAGGAACCUGUUUUAUAAAUGAUACAACACGUAAAAUCUUACUAGUUUUUGUAAAACAGCUUGUAUACCGUCAUUAUUAGAUAACUUUUAUAGAAAAAGUUAUUGGGAGUAUAAAUUUAAGUAUAUUAGAUCAAGGUGCAGCUAAUGAAUUAGUAAAAAUGGGUUACAAUAAAAUUAAUUAUUACGAAUUAGAAUUUGAAUAAAUUUUAUGAAGGGGGAUUUAAUUGUAAUUAUAUUUUAAUAAGUUAUAGUGAUAUAAGUACUAAAUUAUGUACAUAUCGCCCGUCGCU
rnacentral:rRNA from 1 species